AGCGCCUGGCGGCGGCCCCCGCGCCCCGGCCGGCCCCGUGCCCUGGCGGGAAGGCAGCCGGCCCGGGAGUCGUGGGAGGGGUCUGAGCCGCCAUUUAACGCCCCUGGGUUUCCCAGUAGCCAGGGGGUCGCGCUGGUGCUGCGGCCUCUCCCCGGCGCUCAGGUCACACCUGCGUCUGAUGGCGCCCGGGAGUGACGCGGGGCGGGGGGGCACUUUAGUGACCAGGCAAAACAGAACCAAAAAGUGCAGAGAAAAGCGGGGAGUUCGUAUUUACGGAUAUGCACCUGGUCAGAUGCUGAUCGUGGACGGAAUUUUGUACCUGUGACUGGUCCCUGACCUGACAGUAGGGAUGGAUAUCCGAUGGCCUGCGCUAGAUCUGUGUUGGUGGGGAAGAGGGAUGCUCUCCAGUGGAGCUCUGGU
rnacentral:lncRNA from 1 species